rnacentral:snoRNA from 1 species
AUGACCGUACUUAAACAAGAUUAUUUCUAUAGUAUGUUCUUUUCUACUUGACUUUCCAAAGUAGACAAACUCAACAACUUUGAUGAUCGCAUUCGACUUCAUUCACUGACUCGGGAUGUCCGUGGGUCGUUACUUGGCUCUCUUUUGGACUUGGUCGCCCUCAUUGAUGAACGUCCGCUGUCGCCUAUUCCAAGGCAGCGUGAGCGAGUGGAGUGAUAUGAGAAGUU